ACAAGACGUGCAUUAAAGGAAAGUUCAAAGGAGCUCUUCUGCCUGAAACAAAAAGACAGAAGUGCACAAAACUCUAAGCAAAGUGACAAAGAUAAGCAGAGAAUUGCAACUCUAUUUCAGAAUAGGAGGUUGAACACUUAGUUAUAACAUAAAGGUUAAGAGAGGAAGAAAAGCAUCACUAAUAACUACAGUUACUUCAAUUUGGUAACAAACACAAUAUAAAAAGGGGUAAUUUGUGACAAUAAAAACAAAGGGAAGAAGGGAAAGAUGGAACUUGUAUAGGAGGAAAUGAAGAUGCUAUCAGAAGAAAACAGACUAACAGACAUUUUCUACAAACCUCAUGGUAACCACACAACAAAAUU